GACGAACGCUGGCGGCGUGCCUAAUACAUGCCAGUAGAACGCUGAAGCGAGGAGCUUGCUCUUCUUGGAUGAGUUGCGAACGGGUGAGUAACGCGUAGGUAACCUGCCUUGUAGCGGGGGAUAACUAUUGGAAACGAUAGCUAAUACCGCAUAACAAUGGAUGACACAUGUCAUUUAUUUGAAAGGGGCAAUUGCUCCACUACAAGAUGGACCUGCGUUGUAUUAGCUAGUAGGUGAGGUAAUGGCUCACCUAGGCGACGAUACAUAGCCGACCUGAGAGGGUGAUCGGCCACACUGGGACUGAGACACGGCCCAGACUCCUACGGGAGGCAGCAGUAGGGAAUCUUCGGCAAUGGGGGCAACCCUGACCGAGCAACGCCGCGUGAGUGAAGAAGGUUUUCGGAUCGUAAAGCUCUGUUGUAAGUCAAGAACGGGUGUGAGAGUGGAAAGUGCACACUGUGACGGUAGCUUACCAGAAAGGGACGGCUAACUACGUG
rnacentral:rRNA from 1 species